rnacentral:rRNA from 1 species
UACAGAGGGUGCGAGCGUUGUUCAGAAUUAUUGGGCGUAAAGCGCGUGUAGGCGGUUCGAUAAGUCUGCUGUGAAAGUCCAGGGCUCAACCCUGGAAAGCCGGUGGAUACUGUCGGACUAGAGUGCGGAAGAGGCGAGUGGAAUUCCCGGUGUAGCGGUGAAAUGCGCAGAUAUCGGGAGGAACACCAAUUGCGAAGGCAGCUCGCUGGGACGUUACUGACGCUGAGACGCGAAAGCGUGGGGAGCAAACAGG